CGGGAAUAAAAACACUUUAUUAAAAUAUAUUUUUUUCCAAAAAACUUGGCACUAGCCCAAGAGAAAACCCUAAUCUCUGUUUCUUUUCCGGCGGCCGCCGCCUUGUGCGGUCGCCGGAUCCGCCUUUCGUCCUCUUGUGUGUCUAUGUGUUUCACUCAAUCUCUUCUCUUUCCCCUUCGUUUUUCUGCAGUAGUGUCGUAGUGAAUGAGUUUUUGCUUGAAGUUCAGAUCCGGUGUUGCUCUCUUCAGAUCUGGAAGUUUCGGGCGUUUGGAGUUGCUUGAGGAUGACCUCUCUUUCUGUCGUGUUCGUCCUCUAUUAUUAUUGCAGACUCUGCGAUUGGUUAUCUCUGUUCCAGCUGGUGCUUCGUGGGCCUCACGAUGGGUUGGGGUUCUAGGUUUCACCAUUCAUGUUGGUUACAUUUUCAGCGGCCAAUGUUAGGUUAUCAUAAGCCAUAAUUAGUGAGAAUUGGUCUUUUAGAGAAGGAUCUCAAAAUUUUGUGUUCUUUCCAAGCCACUGCUGUGGAUAAAAAAGGAGCCAGUUUAAAAGAUCCGAGUUUGUGCUUUAACAAUCUGGACCCUAAUUUUGGAUCUUCGAUAUCAAAGACAAAUGGCACAUAAUAGUGUCAUCUCUGUGAUCUCAUUUUUUCAUGCUUCAGAUGCUAUCUUGUACAUGUUGCAUUGUUCAUGCUUAAAACAUGACAUGAAUUUUUAGUUCAUCGCUAAUAGUGUCACAAGUACGUAGUCACCGUUAUCAUGCGUAUCUUGCGACAUUGGUCCUCAAUGGCUUGACCUCACUAUCCGAGAAGAGGCAUCCAGUGAUGGCGUAUAGUUACAUGGAUGUGGCGCUAUGGAUAUUCUGUUCUCCAUGCAAUUAUUUUUCGCUUCUUCGCUCCUGCGAUUUGAUAUGACACCUAAUGGUGUAUUCUUUUUACUUUCUAUAUUAUGUUUUUUGUUUUCCCUCAAUCCUCUGUUUGUGAGGUGUGUGCGCUUCAGGGGGUUCAUUUGUAACUAUUUGUUAUUGAAUACAUCAGCGUUAAAAAAAACACUUUAUUAUU